CUCUCUCUCUCCUUGCCCUGGCAGGCACUGUUUGAUUUGUUUGUUUAGAUAUAAGAUUAUUUGUGCUUUGCAUGGAAGAAAGAAUGGAAAGAAAGGUCUUUUGAUCUGUUUGAUCAAUUUUGGUGUUGCUUUGGGUUUUCCUUUCUGAUCUUCGUGACACGGGUAAAACGGCGAUGGCCUUUUUUGGAAGCCGGUGGGUGAGUUUUCCUUAAAUGGGGUGUGACUGACUGUUCGUUCUCAGAUCUGUUGAUGCUAUCUGUGCAGUAAGUAGUACUUUUUCUUGGUGGGUUUGUUUGUUUGUUAAUUUUUCCGUUUCUGGGAAAAAGAUACAAGCACCGCCCUUUGGAUUUUCUUCCCAUUUUUCCUUUUCUGGGUUGCCGAGAAAAUUGACAGAAGAGAGUGAGCACACAGGGGCAAAUUGGUAUAAGUCUAUGCCAUUGCUCUUGCGUGCUCACUUCUCUUUCUGUCAGUUUUCAGGCCCAGAAUUCCAUUUCUUUGUCCAUCCAUCCAAACCCAAGUGUGAUCUUAGUUUCUCUCUCUAAAUAUAUCUCCUUUUUUCAUCUCUCUCUCAUUUCGGGUUUGUUUGUGCUGUGCCUGUCAUGUAGGAGUCAGUGUGGAUUUGCUUUCCUUUUCUCUCCUAAUUCCUUUGGAUUUGAUUGUAGUGUAUUUUAAAAAGUAUAUUUGGUAGGGUUAUUAGCCUGCAAGCGUGACUUUUGAUGGCUUUCUUCGAGAUGGUAGCCCUAAUUACUGUGCUUAAUUAACGGAAAAAACUGUAUUAUUGUGGUGCUCCUGAUGUACCAGUCUACAUGUAUAGCAUAGGAUGGUCCUCCACAGAAAAACAUCUCUUUCUGUCUCUUGUUCUUUCGUGCUUCUUGAUGUUAUCAUCUACUUGUUCAUUUUUGUAUUUAAUUCUUCCGCAUGCAAUGUUUGCUUGAGAACUUGUUCUAAGCUGUUUGUUUUCGACUGAAUCCUCUUGCUGCAGAUCAGCUUCACAUUUUCGUGUGGGUGUUUUAUUAAUUUCCCCAUCUGAUGAAGUCUUUGUCUAUCUCAUUUCUUAUUAUCGUUUCGAUCGUGCAAUUGACCUUUGUGACUUCUGUUCUUCCCAUCUGAACCUUUUGCCCAGCUCAAGUUUCAUUAUUGUGCUUGGGAGGUUGAUCUUUAGUGAGUUUGUUAUUAUCUUAUCCGAACCUUUUGCAGCUGAAGUUUCGUUAUUGCGUUUGAGAGAUUGAUCUCUUUUAGGUUAUAUUUCUCCCUUUGAAUCUGUUGCUUGAACAUUUGGUGUUAUAAAAAUCUUAUAUUGGAGGCCUGAAAGUUUUGAUCCACUUCUGUAAGUAACUUCGGUGGUGUACGUUAUUUCUCGUUAUGAACCUUGAUGGUGGCAGUGGUUACUGUUCUUUCUUUCUUUUUUGUUUUUUUGGCUGAGAAUGGCAAUCGUUAGUAGUGCUAAUAUUAGUUUCUUUUUCAUUUUAAGAUCAUGAGAUUUGGGUAGAUGCAGAUCUUAUUUCCAUUUUGUUCCUUCUCUUCCUGUGUUGUUUCGACUUGCUUCUUUGAAAGUGUAGCAGAUCCGCAUUGAAUAUGAACAGAAGCUAUUAUUCUGGCGUGGAGAGAUUUCCUUAACAAGUCAAGAAGGAAACCUACCAAAUUUAUGUCCGAGAAGCUGUCUUGUAUCAUUGAUCAUUUUAUGAUAUGUCCUCCAAUUUUCCUUCAGCCAGUGCAAGCGUUGUUUCAUUUCUCCUUCCUGAUCGCAUGCAAUGGAACAUGAAAUGGGACUAUUCCAUGAACGUAAUGGUUUUCCACUGUUGAUAUGAACAGUUGCAAUUCACUUAUCACCAAAAGUAGCUUAAUGCUGAAUCCAUGGCGUGCUUGCUUAGGUCAAUGUCAUAUAUGCCGUUUUGUUGAUGAAGGAAACCCCAAUAUUAUAUAAUAUACUUGUUGGAUCGCCUUAUACAAUGCAGAAGCCAAGGAGGACUCGAGCUAGAAUAAAAAGACUCUUGGACCUGCAAGGCUUCCUCAAAACAACCUGCUUACAAAACAAACAAAUCAACAGCAGCCAGCAGGGCCAGGGCGUUUAUCGAGAGGUAAAAGUUAGUGGGAGGUAUUUAUAACCCAGUUUGUGCUUCUUGACCGAGAUGAGAUGCCGAAUGUCUAGGACAAGCUCUACACGAAAUUAAAUUGCUUAAUCCUUUGAUUUAAUCACUCAAUAUAUAUGUGCCUUUGCCUCUGAUAUUUUUUCCCUGCAGAUUCAUCAGUCAGUAUGUGUACUGUUUUUUGUUACAUAUAAAAAAAUUGUCAAAAGUCACUGAAGAUAUAACUAAGGGCGCAAGCAACUGCAUUCGGACCAAUAACCUUACUUUUUGAAUUCCUGGCUACCAUUAAUUCCACCAGAGCUUGAUAUGUAUUAGAUCACCUAAUAGGGUAACAUCCACAUCGGGAUCAGUAUAUAUUAGAAUAGAACCAAGGCAUAAUGCUCUACUUGGCGCUGCAAAUUAAGGGGCAGAGAUUUAAUCACUAUACAGCUACAGUAAGCUAGGACAAGUUUUUAAGAAUUCAUUAUGAGUGAAAAUGGUGGGCUGUUGAUUGGAGCCAUUAAGGUGGGCUGUUGAUUCGUCGGUUCCAUUACGUAACGUAUAUAAAGAGAAUCGAUUCGUCCUUGCUUGCUUGUGUGCUUCUUCACAGGAUGGAAAGAAGAAAGUUAUCUAAAUAGACAAGAAAGAUCUUACGGUGACCUUGCUCCUCCCGUUGGACGCCAUCAAAGAGGUGCCAGCUCUUCCAAAAAACCAAGUCUCCCCGAAGUACUGAAUCUCCCCAGCCCCACCCGAUUGAGGAGGAUCGGCUCAGCCGGAAAACGAAUUGAUCUUGGGAACCAUGCAUUAUGAGCGCAUUGAUGAUUGAUGGUUUGGUUGAAUAAGUUAUUUAAUAUAAUAAGACUAAUAAUAAGACGAGAGGUUUGAGGGGUUGGGAUGGGCCUAUUAAAAGGUGAUGGGCCCAAAAAUAAGAGCUACAAUAUUUAAUGGUAAAAUAUAUAUUUUUUUAACACUAAUGGUAUUUUAAACAAACUGUAUA